GAUGAACGCUGGCGGCGUGCCUAAUACAUGCAAGUCGAGCGAACAGAUGAGGAGCUUGCUCCUCUGACGUUAGCGGCGGACGUGUGAUUAACACGUGGAUACCUACCUAUAAGACUGUGAUAACUUCGGGAAACCGGAGCUAAUACCGGAUAAUAUAUUGAACCGCAUGGUUCAAUAGUUAAAUACGGUUUUUCUUUCACUUAUAGAUUGAUCCGCGCCGCAUUAGCUAGUUGGUAAGGGAACCGCUUACCAAGGCGACGAUGCGUAGCCGACCUGAGAGGGGGAGCGGCCACACGGGAACUGAGAAACGGUCCAGACUACUACGGGAGGAAGCAGUAGGGAAUCUUCCGCAAUGGGCGAAAGCAUGACGGAGCAACGCCGCGUGAGUGAUGAAGGUCUUCGGAUCGUAAAACUCUGUUAUUAGGGAAGAAAAAAUGUGUAAGUAACUAUGCACGUAUUGACGGUACCUAAUCAGAAAGCCACGGCUAACUACGUG
rnacentral:rRNA from 1 species